rnacentral:lncRNA from 1 species
GAUUGACUGGGCUGUGGCCAAUUAAGUUGCUUGGAGGCCUCGCCCCCCGCUUUCCUGUAAGUGCUGCCCCUUGUGCUGUGGGCUGGAGCUCCUGGGGCUGCUCUCCUUCCAGAAGUUGUCGGACUUUGUAGUCAGGGUGGCUCAGUCCACACAGACUCCACUCCAGGUUGUCAGCACGAGGGCUUCCCUCUGGGUUGGUGUUGGUGUAGUAGGCAGGUCCGAGGUGGAGCUGCAGCGCCCCAGAGCCUGGGGUCACCUGAGCGGGUUGUCCGAGUCACUGUGCCCACCAGGCCUGUGCUGCCUGCUUCCUCACUGCCUCUGGUUCCUGGUGUAUCCAGGAUCUGGAGAUUUCUUGGUCUUUGGGUUUCACUUCUGAGUACGGGCUGAGCAGUUCUUACUACAGUGGACCCUUGGCUUGUGAACUCAAUUGGUUCCCGAAGGCUGGUUGUAACUCAAGUUGAUUGUAAGUCAAUACAGCUGAGAUCUGGAUGUUUUCCUGGGUACAUGCUAUAGAUAACAAGAGGCAUAGGAACCUUCCAUUAACCUAAUUAACCCAAGUUGUUCAUAUGUCAGGGUGGUUAUAACUUGCGGGUCCCAGUAUUGCCUUGUGGUGUCUUCCUUUAGUCCUGAACAGCACUUGGCUGUUGCUUUGCAGAAAAUCACGAAAUUCCAUAAGAAACAGUUGCUUUGCUACAGUCAAUUCGUACUCACCCCCUGCUCCAUGUCCAGACUCAUUA